UAAGACGUAGGUGGCAAGCGUUAUCCGGAUUUACUGGGCGUAAAGAGGGUGCAGGUGGCCCUUCAAGUCGGAUGUAAAAUCUCUCGGCUUAACUGGGAGGGAGCAUUCGAUACUGUUAGGCUAGAGGACAGCAGAGGGAGGUGGAAUUCCCGGUGGAGUGGUGAAAUGCGUAGAUAUCGAGAGGAACACUAGUGGCGAAGGCGGCCUCCUGGGCUGUUACUGACACUGAGGCCCGAAAGCGUGGGGAGCAAACAGGAUUAGAUACCCUGGUAGUCUGCGCUGUAAACGAUGGACACUAGGUAUAGGGAGUAUCGACCCUCUCUGUGCCGAAGCUAACGCGUUAAGUGUCCUGCCUGGGGAGUACGGCCGCAAGGCUA
rnacentral:rRNA from 1 species